CCAAUCAAUGUCCCGGUGACCACCAUGGAUGCAGAGCUGGAGUCUGCCAUCCAGCCAAACACCACCGGUAAACAGCUUUUUGAUCAGGUGGUAAAGACUAUUGGCCUCCGGGAAGGGUGGUACUUUAGUCUCCAGUAUGUAGACAAUAAAGGCUUUCCUACCUGCUUGAAACUUGAUAAAAAGGUCUCCACACAGGAGGUUAGAAAAGGAGAACCUUGUCCAGUUCAAAUUCCAGGCCAAGUUCUACCCUGAGGACAUGGCUAAGGAGCUCAUAGACCUACUCUCCACCAAAACAGCCCUCCCUGUUCCUGGGGUCCUAUGCAGUUCAGGGCAAGUUUGGAGAUUAUAACAAGGAAAUGCACAAGUCUAGGUACCUCAGCUUCAAGUGACUGAUCCCUCAGAGUCAUUCAUGGACCAGCACAAACUCAGCAGGGGCCAGUGGGAGGUCAGGAUCCAGGUGUGGCACGCAGAACACUGAGAGAUGCUUAAGGACAGUGCUAUGCUAGAAUACCUGACGAUUGCCCAGGACCUGGAAAUGCAUGGGAUCAACUAUUUCAAGAUCAAAACCAAGAAAAAAAAACAAACAAAGAAAAACAGACCUUUGGCUUGGAUUUAACAUCUAUGAGAAAGAUGACACGUUGACCCAGAAGAUUGGCUUCCUUGCAGUGAAAUCAGGAACAUUUCUUUCAAUGACAAGAAGUUUGUCAUUAAGCCCAUCAAAAAGAAGGUACCUGACUUUGUGUUCUAUGCUCUGUGCCUGGGAAUUAACAAGUGGAUCCUGCAGCUCUGCAUGAGGAACCAUGAGCUGUACAUGCACCGCAGGAAGCCCGACACCAUUGAGGCACAGCAGGUAAAGGCCCAGGCUUGGGAGGAGAAGCACCAGAAGCAGCUGGAGAGACAAUAAUUGGAAACGGAGAAGAGGAAAGAAACCCCAGAGAGAGAGAGAGAGAGUAACAGAUAACAGAUGCUCUGGGAGAAGGAGGAGCUGAAACUUCGGCUUCAGAACUAUGAUCAGAUGACCAAGAGGGCAGAGAAAGAGCUCUCUGAGCAGACUGAGAAGGCCCUCCAGCUGGAGGAAGAGAAGAGGCGAGCCCAGGAGGAGUCUGAACGUCUGGAGGCCUCCAGAUGACCACAUGGCCUCCCUGUGGGCCAAGGAAGAACUGGAAAGGCAGGCACAGGAUCAGAUAAAGAGCCCGGAGCAGCUGGCUACAGAGCUGGCAGACUACUCGGCCAAGAUUGCCCUUUUGGAGGAGGCACGGAGACGCAAGGAGGAUGAGGUGGAGGAGUGGCAGCACAGUGCUAAAGAAGCCCAGGAUGACCUGGUGAAGACCAAGGAGGAGCUGCACCUGGUGAUGACUGAUCCCCCACCCCCACCAACCUCAGUGUACGAGCCCCGUGAAUUACCAAAUCUAGGAGGGACUGCAGGACGAGGGAGCAAAGCCCAUGGGCUACAGCGGUUGUGUGCUCUAGCGAAGGCAUCCUGGAUGACCGCAAGGAGGAGAAGCGGAUCACAGAAGCAGAGAGGAAUAAGCUUGUUCAGUGGCAGCUGCUGACUCUGAGUAACAAGUUGUCCCCAGGCCCGGGAUGAGAAUUAGAGGACCCACAAUGACAUCAUCCACAAUGAGAACAUGAGGCAAGGCCGGGACAAGUAUAAGAAGCUGCGGCAAAUCAGGUAGGGCAACACCAAGCAGCACAUCUGCAAGUUCGAGGCCAUGUAG